rnacentral:rRNA from 1 species
UACAGGGGUGGCAAGCGUUACUCGGAAUUAUUGGGUGUAAAGGGCAGGUAGGUGGUCUUGUAAGUGGGGGGUGAAAUCCUGCGGUUCAAUCGCAGAACUGCCUUUCAAACUGCAGGACUUGAGAGUGUUAGGGGAGAAUGGAAUUCCCGGUGUAAGGGUGAAAUCUGUAGAUAUCGGGAAGAACACCAACAGCGAAGGCAAUUCUCUGGGACACUUCUGACGCUAAACUGCGAAAGCUAGGGGAGCAAACAGAAUUAGAUACUCUGGUAGUCCUAGCCGUAAACGAUGAAUACUAGGUGUUGGCCCCUUCGGGGGUCGGUGCCGAAGCUAACGCAUUAAGUAUUCCACCUGGGGACUACGAUCGCAAGGUUAAA